GAUGUGACAAAGAUGAUUGAAGGCAGACUGUGGACGUUGUCUAUAUGGACAUUGAACAAAGCAGACUGAUCCCAGUGAUUAAUGCCAAAGCCCUGUUGCCUGGGGAGAGGGUGAUGUUUGACUUUCUUGUACAGCUGCAGAUUGUGUGGUGAAGGUGCUCCCACAAUGUGGUUGGGAUAUUAAAUCAGAAUAAUUGAAGUUGGGAUCUAAAAAGCAAGUUUUUACAGUCAAUGGAUUCAUCAGGAUCUGAAUAUCAUUGGCAUUUAACUGUGGAAGAAGAAAGGAUGAGGCUGUCACUGGCUCGGCCAGCAUUUAUUGCUGCGUUUACCCAGAGGGCAGUUAAGAGUCAACCACGUUGCUGUAGGUCUGGAGUCCCAUGCAGACCAGACCAGAUCCCAGUGAUCAGUGCCAAAGCCCCAUUGCCUGUGAAGAGGGUGAUGUUUGAUUUCCCUGUCCAGCUGCAGUUCAUGUGGUGAAGGUGCUCCCACAAUGUGGUUGGGUGGACAUUCAGAUGGUAAUCUCAGUAAUUGUAACGCCAAACUGUGACAAAAUUACUCAAUUCAUCAGGAGCUGGAUAUUCACAUUGUGUAUGGAUGUUCUUAAACAUGAUAGGAAGGAGAACAGAAUUCGAUGGAAUAUUGCAAAAGUUGCCGAAUCAAUGUCCAGUACAGCCGCAAUAUGACCUCCCAACCCCUAUACUCAAUGCUCUGACCAAUAAAGACAAGCCGGCCAACCGCCGCCUUCACUAUUCGAUU